rnacentral:tRNA from 1 species
GGCCGGUUAGCUCAGUGGUUUGAGCGUGGUGCUGACGACAAUGUCAACACCGAGGUCACGGGUUCGAUUCCCGCUCAGUCCC